rnacentral:rRNA from 1 species
GGGCUCACACAAGCGGUGGAGGAUGUGGCUUAAUUCGAGGCUACGCGAAGAACCUUAUCCUAGUCUUGACAUGUAUGGAUUAACCCUGUGAAAGCAGGGCCACGCCUUCGGGUGGAACAUACACAGGUGCUGCAUGGCUGUCGUCAGCUCGUGUCGUGAGAUGUCGCGUUAAGUCGCUUAACGAGCGAAACCCUUGUCUCUAGUUGCCAGCGCGUAAUGGCGGGGACUCUAGAGAGACCGCCGGCGUUAAGCCGGAGGAAGGUGGGGAUGACGUCAAGUCCUCAUGGCCCUUAUGACUAGGGCUGCACACGUCCUACAAUGGAACGCACAAAGGGAUGCGAAACCGCGAGGUCAAGCAAAUCCCAAAAAUCGUUCCCGGGCCUUGUACACACCGCCCGUCACACCAUGGAAGUUGGCCACGCCCGAAGCCG